UACGUAGGUGGCGAGCGUUGUCCGGAAUUAUUGGGCGUAAAGGGUGCGUAGGCGGCUCUUUAAGUGGGAUGUGAAAUCCCUGGGCUCAACCCAGGAACUGCAUUCCAAACUGGAGAGCUAGAGUGCAGGAGAGGAAAGCGGAAUUCCCAGUGUAGCGGUGAAAUGCGUAGAGAUUGGGAGGAACACCAGUGGCGAAGGCGGCUUUCUGGACUGUAACUGACGCUGAGGCACGAAAGCGUGGGGAGCAAACAGG
rnacentral:rRNA from 1 species